UUCCCCUUCCUUCUCCAGGAAUACCAGCGGGUGUGUGUUCUCAAGGGUCACAAAAGCCUUCCCUGAAACCCGAUCUUGAGGACAGGGACCCUGACCGGGAGUCAGCCCAGCCCUCUGCAGUGACCCACUUUUUAAUAACUUCCUCCCCUGCGAUCAGGUUCUGCCGGCACAGAUAACAGCAGGCCUGCCGCCUGGAAAGGCUCCUGGGAUAUUGACUCUGGCUCCGUCCCCUGGGGCUCCUGCCGCAUUGCGAGACCGGCAGCCAGCCAGUGAGUGCUCCCCAACACCUUUCAUCCGCGCCCCGCUUCACCGUGGGGCUGACUCAGCCAAGAGCUGAUGACGCUCACUUGUGAAUGGAGCGUUCCAAGCUGCUAUCCGGGCGCUGAGGCCCCACUGGCGCUCAGACCGCAGGCCACUUCCCCAGGCUCUGCCCCUGUGCGAUUCUCACAUCCACCUUGAAGCCGAUGGAAAGUUUGCCUGCAAGCAAAUUAAUUCCUCAUGACUCUACGAGAUGCAUAUUUAAUGCAUUUUUAAAAUAGAUACUGAAAGUCCUUUCCACAGCUAUUUCAGAUUAUUGACAGCAAAUUUUCUUUUAAAUGAAACUUUUAUAUGCAAAAUGA